rnacentral:lncRNA from 1 species
AAUGGUUCAUUAAGGAUUUUUCUUGUAUUGCUGCUCCCUUAACUAAUCUCACCAGAAAAUUAUUUUUCUUUGAUUAGGAUAAAAUGUGUGAAGAAAUUUUUAUCAAACUCAAACGUUGACUCAGCACUGCUAUGGUGUUAAUCCUCCUUGAUAAUACUGGAUGAUUUCAGGUUUUCUAGGAUGUGUCUCAUAUUGAUCUAAGAUGUGUACUCAUGCAGCAUGAUCGGGUAGUGGCUUAUAGUUCC